rnacentral:rRNA from 1 species
AGAGUUUGAUCAUGGCUCAGGACGAACGCUGGCGGCGUGCCUAAUACAUGCAAGUCGAGCGCGGGAAGCGAGCAGAUCCCUUCGGGGUGAUGCUCGUGGAACGAGCGGCGGACGGGUGAGUAACACGUGGGCAACCUGCCUGUAAGAUCGGAAUAACCCCGGGAAACCGGGGCUAAUGCCGGGUAACACCUUUCCUCACCUGAGGAGAGGUUAAAAGAUGGCUUCUUGCUAUCACUUACAGAUGGGCCCGCGGCGCAUUAGCUAGUUGGUGAGGUAACGGCUCACCAAGGCGACGAUGCGUAGCCGACCUGAGAGGGUGAUCGGCCACACUGGGACUGAGACACGGCCCAGACUCCUACGGGAGGCAGCAGUAGGGAAUCUUCCGCAAUGGACGAAAGUCUGACGGAGCAACGCCGCGUGAACGAUGAAGGUCUUCGGAUCGUAAAGUUCUGUUGUUAGGGAAGAACAAGUACCGUGCGAAUAGAGCGGUACCUUGACGGUACCUAACGAGGAAGCCCCGGCUAACUACGUGCCAGCAGCCGCGGUAAUACGUAGGGGGCAAGCGUUGUCCGGAAUUAUUGGGCGUAAAGCGCGCGCAGGCGGUUCCUUAAGUCUGAUGUGAAAGCCCACGGCUCAACCGUGGAGGGUCAUUGGAAACUGGGGAACUUGAGGACAGAAGAGGAGAGUGGAAUUCCACGUGUAGCGGUGAAAUGCGUAGAUAUGUGGAGGAACACCAGUGGCGAAGGCGACUCUCUGGUCUGUUUCUGACGCUGAGGUGCGAAAGCGUGGGUAGCAAACAGGAUUAGAUACCCUCGUAGUCC